GGGGUCCGUGCUCCGCGCUUCCGUACCCGACCCUCCUCCCCGCGCGGCCCCGCCCCAAGGACGGGUCCGCAUGCGCAGUGGCCACGCGGGCGCCAGCCACGCAGCUCCCCGCCAGGGUGGGGGCGUACCAAAGGGACACCCGAGGAAGGGGCCACCGGGAAGGAAAACCUCCGCGGGAAGGGUGGAAACGGGAGGAAGGCUAGGGAGCAAGUGCGAGAAAUGUCGCAGAAGCCCACAGGCUCCCUCCAGAGAGACUGGCGAGAACUGCCCUAGAAACUUGUCGCGGGCAUUUUUGGGCUGUGCGUCCCCCACCCGCGCCAAUAGCACAGCCCAACCGCGCCCGGGUUCCGGGUGAGGACUCGGCAACCGCUCGGAGCUGCAGGGCUGCCGCUGUAGGACUCGUCCACUGGAGCUGGAAGUGGUGUUUUGGGCUCCGCUCUUCUGUGCACCCCGAUCAUGCUUAAUGUCUGCACCUUUUUCGUGGACCCUGGCCUUUAGUGACUCCUUAAUGUAUAGGAUGCUGGAGCUGAAGAGUUGCUCAGUAGAGAGCAUCUCGGUUCACUUCUACCCAAGUUUUAGAGGUGAGAACAUCUGGCCGGAGGUAGCAUGACACAUGGAGCCAGGAACUUUGGGUUCAAAUCCUGACUAUCCGUACCCUCGCGUAAGCCAUAGCCGCGCUCUCAGGGGACUAAGCUUACCCCUCUGCUAAAGAGGAUCAUCCUACCUAUCUCACCGGUUGGAUCAGAAGCUCAAGGGGCAAAAUGUGGGAAAACAUGGGCCCAGUGCCCACUGAGCACACAGGACAGAUGCUACUUGAAACGGAAUCUAUUUAAUUCGACUGUGGUUUCCUUAAGGCGGAGACUAUGUUGUUUGUAUCACCAACCACAAAAGUUUGUGGCACAAAACCUUCGCAUAUACAGUCAAAUGAUUUUUUUUUUCUUUUUUUUCUUUUUUUUUUUUUGAGACGGGGUCUUGGUCUGUAGCCAGGCUGGAGUGCAUGGCACAAUCAAAGCUCACUGCAGCCUGGACGUCUUGGGCUCAAGAGAUCCUUCUGCCUCAGCCUCCUGGGUAGUUGAGACAGCCAGUAGUCACACGCCACCCACCAUGCCCAGCUAACUUUUGCACUGUGUGUAAGAGACGGGGUUUUGCCGUUUGCCAUGUUGCCCAGGUAUGUCCCAAACUCCUGGCCUCAAGCAGUCCUCCCGCCUCAGCCUCCCAAAGUGCUGGGAUUACAGGCGUGAGCCACCAUGCCCUGACUAGUCAAAUGAUUUUUGACAAGGGUGCUGUGGCCAUUCAGUAGAGAAAAGUAUAUUUUCUGUGCAUCAAAGGACACAACAGGCUGGGCAUGGUGUCUCAAGCCUGUAAUCCUAGCACUUUGGGAAGCCGAGGCAGGUGGAUCACCUGAGGUCAGUAGUUUGAGACCAGCCUGGCCAACAUGGUGAAACCCCAUCUCUGCUGAAAGUACAAAAUCAGCCAGGCAUGGUGCCGGGCCCCUAUAUUCCCAGCAACUCGGGAGGCUAAGGCAGGAGAAUCACUUGAACCCCCAGAGUGGAGGUUGCAGUGAGCUGAGAUUGCACCACUUUACUCCAGCCUGGGCAAAAGAGCAAAACUCCGUCUCAAACCCCCACCCC
ensembl:lncRNA